ACGAACGCUGGCGGCACGCUUAACACAUGCAAGUCGAACGAGAGAAGAGAAGCUUGCUUUUCUGAUCUAGUGGCGGACGGGUGAGUAACACGUGAGCAAUCUGCCUUUCAGAGGGGGAUACCGAUUGGAAACGAUCGUUAAUACCGCAUAACAUAAUUGAACCGCAUGAUUUGAUUAUCAAAGAUUUAUCGCUGAAAGAUGAGCUCGCGUCUGAUUAGCUAGUUGGUAAGGUAACGGCUUACCAAGGCGACGAUCAGUAGCCGGACUGAGAGGUUGAUCGGCCACAUUGGGACUGAGACACGGCCCAGACUCCUACGGGAGGCAGCAGUGGGGAAUAUUGCACAAUGGAGGAAACUCUGAUGCAGCGAUGCCGCGUGAGGGAAGAAGGUUUUAGGAUUGUAAACCUCUGUCUUCAGGGACGAAAAAAGACGGUACCUGAGGAGGAAGCUCCGGCUAACUACGUGCCAGCAGCCGCGGUAAUACGUAGGGAGCGAGCGUUGUCCGGAAUUACUGGGUGUAAAGGGAGCGUAGGCGGGAUCGCAAGUCAGAUGUGAAAACUAUGGGCUUAACCCAUAAACUGCAUUUGAAACUGUGGUUCUUGAGUGAAGUAGAGGUAAGCGGAAUUCCUAGUGUAGCGGUGAAAUGCGUAGAUAUUAGGAGGAACAUCAGUGGCGAAGGCGGCUUACUGGGCUUUAACUGACGCUGAGGCUCGAAAGCGUGGGGAGCAAACAGGAUUAGAUACCCUGGUAGUCCACGCCGUAAACGAUGAUUACUAGGUGUGGGGGGACUGACCCCUUCCGUGCCGCAGCAAACGCAAUAAGUAAUCCACCUGGGGAGUACGACCGCAAGGUUGAAACUCAAAGGAAUUGACGGGGGCCCGCACAAGCAGUGGAGUAUGUGGAUUAAUUCGAAGCAACGCGAAGAACCUUACCAGGUCUUGACAUACGUGUAAAGCCGCAGAGAUGCGGUGUGAGCUUGCUCAAUACGAGACAGGUGGUGCAUGGUUGUCGUCAGCUCGUGUCGUGAGAUGUUGGGUUAAGUCCCGCAACGAGCGCAACCCUUACUGUUAGUUGCUACGCAAGAGCACUCUAGCAGGACUGCCGUUGACAAAACGGAGGAAGGUGGGGAUGACGUCAAAUCAUCAUGCCCCUUAUGACCUGGGCCUCACACGUACUACAAUGGCUGUUAACAGAGGGAUGCAAAGCCGCGAGGUGGAGCGAACCCCUAAAAGCAGUCUUAGUUCGGAUUGUAGGCUGCAACCCGCCUACAUGAAGUCGGAAUUGCUAGUAAUCGCAGAUCAGCAUGCUGCGGUGAAUACGUUCCCGGGCCUUGUACACACCGCCCGUCACGCCAUGGGAGUCGGUAACACCCGAAGCCUGUAGUCUAACCGCAAGGAGGACGCAGUCGAAGGUGGGAUUGAUGACUGGGGUG
rnacentral:rRNA from 1 species